rnacentral:rRNA from 1 species
UACAGAGGUCUCGAGCGUUGUUCGGAUUCAUUGGGCGUAAAGGGCGCGUAGGCGGUCGUGACAAGUCACUUGUGAAAUCUCCGGGCUUAACUCGGAACGGUCAAGUGAUACUGUCGGACUAGAGUACAGAAGGGGGCAACUGGAAUUCUCGGUGUAGCGGUGAAAAUGCGUAGAGGAUCGGCAGGGAAACACCCCAGGGGGG